rnacentral:snoRNA from 1 species
GUGAGAUGAUGACAGAGUUUAUCCAUUCUCUGAGUGCAGUGGUGCUGCCCUCCUGCAGCAUUCUGACUCCUGUUCUAGGGUCUGGGUGCUGUGCCUGUCUCUUAUACACAUCUAGAUGUGUAUAAGAGACAGGCGCUCCUGCAGCACCCCGAUUCCUGUUCUAGGGUCUGGGUGCUGUGCAGCCUCCAGAGACCCUCUGGUCUGCCAGUGUCCUACUGGGGGCUGUUGUGGUGUGUGGCUGGCUGCCUGCAGGAGUGAAGUGGUGCUGGCAUGGUUGGAGCCCCUCUCUGGGGGGCUCUGUCCUCUCUGAGAUGAAGGGUGAUGUCUGAUCAC